GGGGGACGGCACAGUUCUGCUCCUUGUCGCUAGGUGGUGGUGCUACGGCAGCCGGGUGGCUGUGCUCCUCGGGCCUUGGACGGUGCUCCCAUUUUUCCAUUCUUUUAGUGCUUGAAAGAUUACCAUGACCUUGGCAGGAGACUUAUUGAAGAUCCGAAGAAAAACUGAAGAAAUAGAGGAGGCAAGCCAGAUAAAGAGGCUGAGUGGACAACACUCUGCAGGGAAAUGGUCCCUGUGUCCAGGCUGCUGAGAAGGUCCUGCUGCAAAGAAUGGAGAGAAGAAUGAUAUACUUGCCUUCAAUUUCAGUCCAGUUGACAGCAAUUUCUGCUAUUGGAAUUUUAAAGUACUGUGCUAUGUACAGCAGUUCUACAUCAAAUGCCCUGAAAUAGAAAAUACAUUGAUAGUUAUUUUAAAAAAGACAAAUAGAGCAUACUUAAAUAUCUACCUUGGGAGAUUUUUAAAAAGCUUACAAAAUAGAUGUAAAACUUUUACUGUAAAACUGAAGAUCAGAUUCACAAAAGGUCAAAUAAUUGAACACUGAGCGAUUCAGAAACUUCAAGACAAAAAGAUAUUUAAAAUGUCACUACGUAAAAUUUAAAGAGAAAUGCUGUAACCUCUACCAUGACUCAGAGGUAAAAACAGCCUUGUGUGGUCCAAGAGAAAAUUUAAUCCUGGAAAUUUGCAAGAUGAAUGUUUUUUUUAAUCCCAACUUUAAUGAGGUCAAGGUAUAGAACUGAUAGCUUUUUCAAUCAACUCGUAGCCAACAAAGCAGAACUCUGCAGAACUUUAGAAGAGAACGUCCUUGAUUAUUUACUCCUAUCAUUGAAGGAUCAAGGUUUCUUUUCUAAGAAAGUAUCCCUGGAGUCUUGUCUUUUCCUGUUCCCUUCCUUGUCUUGGACAAAGUAGUACUGGCAGCUGUUGAGGUGAAAAGCUACUUUAGUGUGAAAUACUACUUUGGGUGUGAGUAAAUACAUAUGUAAGAAUUAGGUAUACUAUCUCUAUACAUAUCCACUCUUACUGAUACUUACAUAUUGCUGCAAUUAGUUCUAGUUUGGAUCCCCUAUUCAUCCCUUCCACACAAGACAGGGUGUUUCUUAAACCUCCUCUUCAGUCAGCCCUUUGCUUUUGGUCAAAUUUGUUUUCCCUAGAGGUUUCGAUCCAGAUAUUUUUCCGUAUUCUAUGUAGAAAAUUUCUCUGAACCAGUUGCUACCUUUCACUGGAAGAGAUAAGCCACCACCCCUUACACACUCUUCAUGUUCUUUGAUUGCCUCAAAAGUCCUUAACUGUUUAGCUUUCCAUUCUUGAGUCAUAAAGACCCCCUCCUUUCCUUUUUAGGUUGCAUGGAGCACAGUUCAAACUUUCAGGGCUUGUUUUUAAAACAUGAGCACAGACAAGAAAAUACUUAAAACCCAUUUGUACUUGAUUUCUCGGAUGCCAGACAACAUGAUCUGUAAAUUUUGUUUUGGCCACAAUACUAUCACCAUCCAUUAUGCAGCUGCUUUAAAUUCCAAGUAUCUGGAUAAUUUAAUAUAAAAACUUUUUAAAAAGUGUUUUCUUAUCCUAAUAAAAUACUCAGUGAAAUUGAUAAAAUCA